rnacentral:rRNA from 1 species
AUUGAACGCUGGCGGCAGGCCUAACACAUGCAAGUCGAGCGGAUGAAGGGAGCUUGCUCCUGGAUUCAGCGGCGGACGGGUGAGUAAUGCCUAGGGAUCUGCCUGGUAGUGGGGAAUAACGUCCGGAAACGGGCGCUAAUACCGCAUACGUCCUGAGGGAGAAAGUGGGGGAUCUUCGGACCUCACGCUAUCAGAUGAGCCUAGGUCGGAUUAGCUAGUUGGUGGGGUAAAGGCCUACCAAGGCGACGAUCCGUAACUGGUCUGAGAGGAUGAUCAGUCACACUGGAACUGAGACACGGUCCAGACUCCUACGGGAGGCAGCAGUGGGGAAUAUUGGACAAUGGGCGAAAGCCUGAUCCAGCCAUGCCGCGUGUGUGAAGAAGGUCUUCGGAUUGUAAAGCACUUUAAGUUGGGAGGAAGGGCAGUAAGUUAAUACCUUGCUGUUUUGACGUUACCAACAGAAUAAGCACCGGCUAACUUCGUG